GUAGAAUAAACAGACACACAAGGGAGCUAG
rnacentral:piRNA from 1 species